rnacentral:rRNA from 1 species
AGCAGCCGCGGUAAUUCCAGCUCCAAUAGCGUAUAUUAAAGUUGUUGCAGUUAAAAAGCUCGUAGUUGAAUUUCGGGGUCAGUAGUUUGGUCAUGCCACAGGUAUGUACCGAUCUUACUGAUUCCUCCUUCCUGAUGAACCGUAAUGCCAUUAAUUUGGUGUUGCGGGGAAACUGGACUGUUACUUUGAAAAAAUUAGAGUGUUUAAAGCAGGCUAACGCUUGAAUACGUUAGCAUGGAAUAAUGAAAUAGGACGUUCGAUCCUAUUUUGUUGGUUUCUAGGAUUGACGUAAUGAUUAAUAGGGAUAGCUGGGGGCAUUAGUAUUCAAUUGUCAGAGGUGAAAUUCUUGGAUUUAUUGAAGACUAACUACUGCGAAAGCAUUUGCCAAGGAUGUUUUCAUUAAUCAAGAACGAAAGUUAGGGGAUCGAAGACGAUCAGAUACCGUCGUAGUCUUAACCAUAAACUAUGCCGACUAGGGAUCGGAUGAUGUUAAUUUUAUAAUGACUCA